rnacentral:lncRNA from 10 species
CGCGAGUGAUCCGCCAGCCUCGGCCUCCCGAGGUGCCGGGAUUGCAGAUGGAGUCUCGUUCACUCAGUGCUCAAUGGUGCCCAGGCUGGAGUGCAGUGGCGUGAUCUCAGCUCACUACAACCUACACCUCCCAGCCGCCUGCCUUGGCCUCCCAAAGAGCCGAGAUUGCAGCCUCUGCCCGGCCGCCACCCCGUCUGGGAAGUGAGGAGCGUCUCUGCCUGGCCGCCCAUCGUCUGGGAUAUGAGGAGCCCCUCUGCCUGGCUGCCCAGUCUGGAAAGUGAGGAGCGUCUCUGCCCGGCCGCCAUCCCAUCUAGGAAGCGAGGAGCACCUCUUCCCCGCCGCCAUCCCAUCUAGGAAGUGAGGAGCGUCUCUGCCCGGCCGCCCAUCGUCUGAGAUGUGGGGAGCACCUCUGCCCCACCGCCCUGUCUGGGAUGUGAGGAGCGCCUCUGCUGGGCCGCAACCCUGUCUGGGAGGAUGUCUCCGGAGAGGCUGACUAAACUAUAAACAGUAUCAUAAAACAGUCCACGAAGGAAGGCAGACUUCAUCCACUGACUCUUGUCUGCCAUUGACUGAAGUUUGUCUCACAGGACACCAACUCCUCGUCCCCUUAUCUGGGCGGUCUCUGCAGGCAGCCACCAGGAGACCGGAUCCCAAGCAGUGGUGGCAGCCUCCCUUGCCCACCUGCAGCCUGCAACUUCCAGGGCCUGGUGAGGUGAGCAGGAGGGCAAAUGUGGGCUCCGAGAGGUCAUGGGAGCCGAGGAGUGUCCCACAGGAGGGCAGAGAGAGGCAGGCAGCGGGCUGCUAUCCGAUGGUGAACUCCCUGGGCACCCCGGCAACCAGAAGCCAAGUGUGCAGGUGCAGCUCCACGUGCCACUCCGGGCAUCAUGAGGUGCAGAUGCAGCUCAACAGGCCUCCCUCCCAAGAAGACAGAAACGCCAUCUCUGGACAUGUGGGUUGUUAGGGGUCAUGGACAGUCCAGCCGCUCCUGCAGUCCUGCUCGGAUGGGCACUCAGUACAUGUGGUCAAUGAGGGUGGCUUUUCGGGGCUUCAGGGGAGAGUCUGAAGCCCAAGGCUCUGUGCAUCUCCGACGGGUGCGCAAUCACUUCCCGGCACCUUGUUUUCAAUGAGAAAAUAAAGUUCAUCCUGUUGUUUGCUGCAGAGAAAAUAAGAGCAAAUCUUGCAGGUAGAUUUCACUGAGAGGCAGAAAUUACGUGUGGCCUGUCGGGAUGCGCGGGGCUGCACAGGUUCACCGGUGCAGCCUCUGAUCACCCAGGGCCUCUGUGCAGCGAGCAGCAGUCACAGAGACUUGGGGCAGAUGGAGCCCUGCUGCAUGGCAGCCCCCACUGCUUACAGUUCCUUAUGUCAGCUCAGAAGACCAGGACUCAAGCGCAGGGAAUACAAUUUUCUCACAAAUAGGAGUUCUGGACACACAAACAAAACAGAAGGCGAGGGAGACUCAGUCACAUCUGUCAGGGCCAUCGUUCAGCGUGUGCUACAACUGUCCUGGUUACAGGGCUCGGGCAGGUGACUCAAUUCCCAUUUUUGUGAUUGAUGAAAUACCAUAAGGGGUUUCGGAAGAAGUUUCCAAAAGGCAAAAUCUUUUUAUUUGCAUCAUACUUUAUUUGAAGAGCCCUCCAAAGACGUCAUCUUGUACUGUCUCCAGAAGAAAAGAUGUCAGCUGGGGUUUUCCCUGGUGGGAGGACAAAGAAAUGUGGCUUGAGAAAAAACAAAAAAACUUCUGCAAAGUGACUUAGGGCUAGAGCACCCACGGUGAAUGAACGACAUGGGCCAUCAGCCUGCAGUGUCUGAUAGAACUCUCAUUGUUACACUUUGACAGAAAUUGUCCGUAUCCUUAGGCACGUUAUGUAGGCCACGGUACAUCUCCAACUUACCUGGAACUAGCCAUGAGAAUAAAGGGUGCACUC